UGAACGCUGGCGGAAUGCUUUACACAUGCAAGUCGAACGGUAGAGGGGGGCAACCCCUUGAGAGUGGCGAACGGGUGAGUAAUAUAUCGGAACGUGCCCAGUCGUGGGGGAUAACGUAGUGAAAAUUACGCUAAUACCGCAUACGAUCUAAGGAUGAAAGCGGGGGUAUCGCAAGACCUCGCGCGAUUGGAGCGGCCGAUAUCAGAUUAGGUAGUUGGUAGGGUAAAGGCCUACCAAGCCAACGAUCUGUAGCUGGUCUGAGAGGACGACCAGCCACACUGGAACUGAGACACGGUCCAGACUCCUACGGGAGGCAGCACGUGGGGAAUUUUGGACAAUGGGCGAAAGCCUGAUCCAGCCGAUUCCGCGUGCAGGAUGAAGGCCCUCGGGUUGUAAACUGCUUUUGUACAGAACGAAAAGGUCUCUAUUAAUACUAGGGGCUCAUGACGGUACUGUAAGAAUAAGCACCGGCUAACUACGCGCCAGCAG
rnacentral:rRNA from 1 species